CUUGACAUCCCCAUGCAGGAAGUGACAUCAUAUUGGAGGGAAACCAGCAGAACAAACAUCAUAAUUGAGAGGUGAUGAGAUGGGGGAUGAGUUUCUGGAACAGUAGCGGGGGAAGAAGAGAAGGUCUCUAUCCCACUGUGAGGCCACAUUCUUGGCUCUGCAUAGCUCCAGAGACGUCACCAGGGUCAUGAGGUGUUUCGCAUAACAAGGACGUUUUGAUGUUAAAGGCAAUUCAUCAAGCAUUACUUCUGCUCCCAGAGGCCAG